CUGCCCGGUAGCUAAAUGCGGAAGAGAUAAGUGCUGAAAGCAUCUAAGCACGAAACUUGCCCCGAGAUGAGUUCUCCCUGAGACUUAGAGUCUCCUGAAGGAACGUUGAAGACGACGACGUUGAUAGGCCGGGUGUGUAAGCGCAGCGAUGCGUUGAGCUAACCGGUACUAAUGAACCGUGAGGCUUAACCUUACAACGCCGAAG
rnacentral:rRNA from 3 species